AUUGAACGCUGGCGGCAGGCUUAACACAUGCAAGUCGGACGGUAACAGGGAGGAAGCUUGCUUUCUUUGCUGACGAGUGGCGGACGGGUGAGUAAUGCUUGGGAAUCUGUUUUAUGGAGGGGGAUAACUACGGGAAACUGUAGCUAAUACCGCGUAAUAUCGAGAGAUUAAAGUGUGGGACCGUAAGGCCACAUGCCAUAGAGUGAGCCCAAGUGGGAUUAGGUAGUUGGUGGGGUAAAGGCCUACCAAGCCGUCGAUCUCUAGCUGGUCUGAGAGGAUGACCAGCCACACUGGGACUGAGACACGGCCCAGACUCCUACGGGAGGCAGCAGUGGGGAAUAUUGCACAAUGGGCGCAAGCCUGAUGCAGCCAUGCCGCGUGAAUGGAGAAGGCCUUCGGGUUGUAAAGUUCUUUCGGUGGUGAGGAAGGUUGUAAUGUUAAUAGCAUUAUAAUUUGACGUUAGCCACAGAAGAAGCACCGGCUAACUCCGUGCCAGCAGCCGCGGUAAUACGGAGGGUGCGAGCGUUAAUCGGAAUAACUGGGCGUAAAGGGCACGCAGGCGGAUACUUAAGUGAGGUGUGAAAGCCCUGGGCUUAACCUAGGAAUUGCAUUUCAUACUGGGUAUCUAGAGUAUUUUAGGGAGGGGUAGAAUUCCACGUGUAGCGGUGAAAUGCGUAGAGAUGUGGAGGAAUACCGAAGGCGAAGGCAGCCCCUUGGGGGAAUACUGACGCUCAUGUGCGAAAGCGUGGGGAGCAAACAGG
rnacentral:rRNA from 1 species